rnacentral:rRNA from 1 species
AUUGAACGCUGGCGGCAGGCUUAACACAUGCAAGUCGAGCGGAGACUUCGGUCUUAGCGGCGAACGGGUGAGUAAUACCUAGGAAUCUGCCUAUUAGUGGGGGAUAAUGAAUCGAAAGGUUCGCUAAUACCGCAUACGUCCUACGGGAGAAAGGGGGGAGUCUUUGGUACCUCUCGCUAAUAGAUGAGCCUAGGCCGGAUUAGCUAGUUGGUAGGGUAAAGGCCUACCAAGGCGACGAUCUGUAGCUGGUCUGAGAGGAUGGCCAGCCACACUGGAACUGAGACACGGUCCAGACUCCUACGGGAGGCAGCAGUGGGGAAUAUUGGACAAUGGGGGCGAACCCUGAUCCAGCCAUGCCGCGUGUGUGAAGAAGGCC